UACGUAGGGUGCGAGCGUUUAAUCGGAAUUACUGGGCGUAAAGCGUGCGCAGGCGGUUGGCAAAGUCAGCUGUGAAAGCCCCCGGGCUCAACCUGGGAAUUGCGGUUGAAACUAGUCGACUAGAAUCUGGCAGAGGGGGGUGGAAUUCCACGUGUAGCAGUGAAAUGCGUAGAGAUGUGGAGGAACACCGAUGGCGAAGGGCAGCCCCCUGGGCUAACACUGACGCCUCAUGCACGAAAGCGUGGGGAGCAAACAGG
rnacentral:rRNA from 1 species